CGGUAAUCGAUUGAUGCUGCCUCCGUCCUUGACAGAGCGCCCGCAAGUGUUCCUCCGUCCCGUCCACUUUGCGUCCGGAAGAGAGAAACACCACGCGGUGAGCUCGAUUCUCGUCACUUCUGCAGGGCAAAGCGGGUGAUGAGUCUCCUCUUCUUCAUCUCGGAAGAUGAGAAGAAAAGAUGAGGAGAGGCGAGGAUACGUCAGGAAGAAGAGGAGGAGAGUAAAGGGCAAGUUAAAUGGAGGUCACUGUCGUGCUGCAAAACCCAACUGCACUUCAGCUUGAUGGCAGGAACCGUUGGCCGAACAUUCUCCUUCAGGAUUUUCUGAUUAGAGAGGUGGACAGCGGGCUCGAGCGUCGACUAGACUGAAGGAGAUGGAUGAGAAUGAGCGAUACACAACGGCGGAAGUGCGCAAGGGCACCUGAAGGAGAGACGGAGCGUUCAAACGAGAGAGAGAUACAGAAAAAGGAGGGGGAAGACGGGAAAAUGAGCCUCUGGGGGAGCAAAUGAUUUGGACGCCUGCUUUGCCAAACUGCUUCCUCCCUUUGGCGCGAGCGGCGGAUGGGAGUAGCCGAGUACCCGCUAGUCCGCCGACCUUGCAGGUCAGCCGCGGGAAGGCGACAUUCAUCAAAGUGACGUCCCGCCUGAGGUGCUUGAUAGCCGGCAGCCGCGCACACAACAACGCCGCAUACUCGCAUUUAUAAACACUUUCUUCUUCGUACCUCCUACUCCAAACUGUCAGCAUCAUAAAAGCUUUAUGAUGCAUGUGAAGGCAGCGUUCAAACUUCAACAGUCGCUAAAUGUAAUUGGUUAAAAACAAAAUAUUGCUUUAAUGUAACUAGCAAAUGAGAAUAGGUUAUUAAAGAUACAGGUCGUUAACUGUCACACAAGAAUAAAACGACAUCAACCGCUAAUGACAAUAAGCGUGACAAACAAACGUAACGCCCUUCCUUUUGGUCACUAGCGCAAACCAUAUGGAUUGCUAGUCCCGAGAAGCUAGCGCACUAGUCUUUACUCAGUGAGCCUUCUUGUCAAAGGUUGACAACGGACGGACUCGGAUGACCAAGAGAGGGAGAAUGCGCAGAAUGCACACAAGAAGUCCGGAAUCGAGUUUCAAACCCGAACCCCGGAAACUGGG